rnacentral:rRNA from 1 species
UACGAAGGGGGCUAGCGUUGCUCGGAAUCACUGGGCGUAAAGCGCACGUAGGCGGCUUUCUAAGUCAGGGGUGAAAUCCUGGAGCUCAACUCCAGAACUGCCUUUGAUACUGGGAAGCUCGAGUCCGGAAGAGGUGAGUGGAACCCCGAGUGUAGAGGUGAAAUUCGUAGAUAUUCGGAAGAACACCAGUGGCGAAGGCGGCUCACUGGUCCGGUACUGACGCUGAGGUGCGAAAGCGUGGGGAGCAAACAGG